GAACUGAAGAGUUUGAUCAUGGCUCAGAUUGAACGCUGGCGGCAGGCCUAACACAUGCAAGUCGAGCGGAUGAAGGGAGCUUGCUCCUGAAUUCAGCGGCGGACGGGUGAGUAAUGCCUAGGAAUCUGCCUGGUAGUGGGGGAUAACGUCCGGAAACGGGCGCUAAUACCGCAUACGUCCUGAGGGAGAAAGUGGGGGAUCUUCGGACCUCACGCUAUCAGAUGAGCCUAGGUCGGAUUAGCUAGUUGGUGGGGUAAAGGCCUACCAAGGCGACGAUCCGUAACUGGUCUGAGAGGAUGAUCAGUCACACUGGAACUGAGACACGGUCCAGACUCCUACGGGAGGCAGCAGU
rnacentral:rRNA from 1 species